UACGUAGGGUGCGAGCGUUAAUCGGAAUUACUGGGCGUAAAGCGCACGUAGGCGGAUAGUUAAGUCGGGGGUGAAAUCCCGGGGCUCAACCCCGGAACUGCCUUCGAUACUGGCUGUCUGGAGGUCGAGAGAGGUGAGUGGAAUUCCGAGUGUAGAGGUGAAAUUCGUAGAUAUUCGGAGGAACACCAGUGGCGAAGGCGGCUCACUGGCUCGAUACUGACGCUGAGGUGCGAAAGCGUGGGGAGCAAACAGG
rnacentral:rRNA from 1 species